UUUACUUAUUUUCUCUUUGAAAAUCAAGAUCCUACGUUCUGCCAUAUUUCUUAAGAGGUCAUUUAGGGAUUUUAUUUAACCCUUAAGAUGCGAUCGACCCCUCCAAAAUCAUAAAUUUUAGUUGAGAUUGUUCUCUUUAAAUGAUAGUAUCGCAUUCCACACUUUUGAACUGAAUUAUAUAAUAUGUUAUAUGUUAUUAUUACUUUAACCUUUCAGUUCAUAUGAUAUGAUUCCGACUUCU
rnacentral:lncRNA from 1 species